rnacentral:tRNA from 1 species
GGAAGGAUGCCGGAGUGGACGAACGGGCUCGCCUGGAGAGCGAGUUUCCGAAAUAAAAUUCGGAACGGGGGUUCGAAUCCCCCUCCUUCCG